UACGCAGGGGGCAAGCGUUGUCCGGAUUUAUUGGGCGUAAAGAGCUCGUAGGUGGUUCGGUAAGUCGGAUGUGAAAUCUCCAGGCUCAACCUGGAGGGGUCAUUCGAUACUGCCGUGACUAGAGGUCGGUAGGGGAGUGUGGAAUUCCUGGUGGAGCGGUGAAAUGCGCAGAUAUCAGGAGGAACACCCGUAGCGAAGGCGGCACUCUGGGCCGAUACUGACACUGAGGAGCGAAAGCGUGGGGAGCGAACAGG
rnacentral:rRNA from 1 species